rnacentral:rRNA from 1 species
UACGUAGGCAGCAAGCGUUGUUCGGAGUUACUGGGCGUAAAGAGUAUGUAGGCGGUUGGGUAAGUUUGGUGUGAAAUCUCCCGGCUUAACUGGGAGGGUGCGCUAAAGACUGCCUGGCUCGAGUGUGGGAGAGGAAAGCGGAACUCCUGGUGUAGCGGUGAAAUGCGUAGAUAUCAGGAGGAACACCUGCGGUGUAGACGGCUUUCUGGACCAUAACUGACGCUGAGAUACGAAAGCGUGGGUAGCAAACAGG